AAAAUGACUCUCGGCAACGGAUAUCUCGGCUCUCGCAUCGAUGAAGAACGCAGCGAAAUGCGAUACUUGGUGUGAAUUGCAGAAUCCCGUGAACCAUCGAGUUUUUGAACGCAAGUUGCGCCCAAAGCCUCCGGGUCGAGGGCACGUCUGCCUGGGUGUCACGC
rnacentral:rRNA from 1 species